UCUAUGGAGAGUACAAGAACUUGUGAGUAGUAUCUGGAUUUGUUCAGUAUGAAAGCAUGCUCGAUGAAGUAGGAA
ncrna:unclassified sequences RAGATH-18 RNA